UGUGUUAGUGGAACGGUCUGGAAAGUCCGGCGGUACAGGGUGAUAGCCCCGUACACUAAAAUGCACACGUUGUGAACUCGAAGAGUAGGGCGGGACACGUGGUAUCCUGUCUGAAUAUGGGGGGACCAUCCUCCAAGGCUAAAUACUCCUGACUGACCGAUAGUGAACCAGUACCGUGAGGGAAAGGCGAAAAGAACCCCGGCGAGGGGAGUGAAAAAGAACCUGAAACCGUGUACGUACAAGCAGUGGGAGCCUACUUGUUAGGUGACUGCGUACCUUUUGUAUAAUGGGUCAGCGACUUAUAUUCUGUAGCAAGGUUAACCGUAUAGGGGAGCCGCAGGGAAACCGAGUCUUAACUGGGCGUUAAGUUGCAGGGUAUAGACCCGAAACCCGGUGAUCUAGCCAUGGGCAGGUUGAAGGUUGGGUAACACUAACUGGAGGACCGAACCGACUAAUGUUGAAAAAUUAGCGGAUGACUUGUGGCUGGGGGUGAAAGGCCAAUCAAACCGGGAGAUAGCUGGUUCUCCCCGAAAGCUAUUUAGGUAGCGCCUCGUGAACUCAUCUUCGGGGGUAGAGCACUGUUUCGGCUAGGGGGUCAUCCCGACUUACCAACCCGAUGCAAACUACGAAUACCGAAGAAUGUUAUCACGGGAGACACACGGCGGGUGCUAACGUCCGUCGUGAAGAGGGAAACAACCCAGACCGCCAGCUAAGGUCCCAAAGUCAUGGUUAAGUGGGAAACGAUGUGGGAAGGCACAGACAGCCAGGAUGUUGGCUUAGAAGCAGCCAUCAUUUAAAGAAAGCGUAAUAGCUCACUGGUCGAGUCGGCCUGCGCGGAAGAUGUAACGGGGCUAAACCAUGCACCGAAGCUGCGGCAGCGACACUAUGUGUUGUUGGGUAGGGGAGCGUUCUGUAAGCCGUUGAAGGUGGCCUGUGAGGGUUGCUGGAGGUAUCAGAAGUGCGAAUGCUGACAUAAGUAACGAUAAAGCGGGUGAAAAGCCCGCUCGCCGGAAGACCAAGGGUUCCUGUCCAACGUUAAUCGGGGCAGGGUGAGUCGACCCCUAAGGCGAGGCCGAAAGGCGUAGUCGAUGGGAAACAGGUUAAUAUUCCUGUACUCGGUGUUACUGCGAAGGGGGGACGGAGAAGGCUAUGUUAGCCGGGCGACGGUUGUCCCGGUUUAAGCAUGUAGG
rnacentral:rRNA from 1 species